rnacentral:rRNA from 1 species
AUUGAACGCUGGCGGCAGGCUUAACACAUGCAAGUCGAGCGGGGACUUCGGUCCUAGCGGCGAACGGGUGAGGAAUGCUUGGGAAUCUGCCCAGUAGCGGGGGAUAACGUUUCGAAAGGAACGCUAAUACCGCAUACGCCCUACGGGGGAAAGGGGGGGAUCUUCGGACCUCUCACUAUUGGAUGACCCCAAGUCGGAGUAGCUAGUUGGUGGGGUAAAGGCCUACCAAGGCGACGAUCCGUAGCUGGUCUGAGAGGAUGAUCAGCCACACUGGAACUGAGACACGGUCCAGACUCCUACGGGAGGCAGCAGUGGGGAAUAUUGGACAAUGGGCGAAAGCCUGAUCCAGCCAUGCCGCGUGUGUGAAGAAGGCCUUCGGGUUGUAAAGCACUUUAAGCGAGGAGGAAUGGCUGAGGGUUAAUAACCUUCAGCAGUGACGUUACUCGCAGAAUAAGCACCGGCUAACUCUGUGCCAGCAGCCGCGGUAAAAC